GUGAGGAAUUUUCCGCAAUGGGCGAAAGCCUGACGGAGCAAUGCCGCGUGAAGGAUGAAGGCCUAUGGGUUGUAAACUUCUUUUCUUAGAGAAGAAUAUUGACGGUAUCUGAGGAAUAAGCAUCGGCUAACUCUGUGCCAGCAGCCGCGGUAAUACGGAGGGUGCAAGCGUUAUCCGGAAUCAUUGGGUUUAAAGGGUCCGCAGGCGGGAUUGUAAGUCAGUGGUGAAAUCCGGCAGCUCAACUGUCGCACUGCCAUUGAUACUGCAGUCCUUGAAUUCGAUUGGAGUGGGCGGAAUAUGUCAUGUAGCGGUGAAAUGCUUAGAUAUGACAUAGAACACCGAUAGCGAAGGCAGCUCACUAAGUCUGAAUUGACGCUCAUGGACGAAAGCGCGGGUAGCAAACAGGAUUAGAAACCCCUGUAGUCC
rnacentral:rRNA from 1 species